UACGUAGGGGGCUAGCGUUGUCCGGAAUCAUUGGGCGUAAAGCGCGUGUAGGCGGUUCGGUAAGUCCGCUGUGAAAGUCGGGGGCUCAACCCUCGAAAGCCGGUGGAUACUGUCGGACUAGAGUACGGAAGAGGCGAGUGGAAUUCCUGGUGUAGCGGUGAAAUGCGCAGAUAUCAGGAGGAACACCAAUUGCGAAGGCAGCUCGCUGGGACGUUACUGACGCUGAGACGCGAAAGCGUGGGGAGCGAACAGG
rnacentral:rRNA from 1 species